rnacentral:pre_miRNA from 1 species
AUCACCUGGGAUCUUGUUAAAGUGCAGAUUCUGGUUCAGGAGCCUGCGAUUCUGCAUUUCUAACAAGCUUCCAGGUGCUGCUGA